UUUGCUUACCAAGCCAAGGAAGGGUCCCAACACUGAAAUUAUUGAAAGAAAGGUCUAAAUAAGUGAGUUGGGUAAGAUUUGCCAUGAAAGAAGGAAUUUGGCCACUAAAAUAGUUAUUUGAAAGGUCUAAAUAGGAUAACUGGGGAAGGUGACCAAGUGGAGAUGGGACCAACCCAGUGAAAUUGCAUGAGCUGAUGUCCAACACUUUUAAGGGAUUGGUUUCCUGAAAUUCAGGCAAAUAAACAAUCAGAUCUGGAUUGUACCCCACACUAAGAAACUGUAGGCUUGGUAGCUGAAAAAUGUUCAUUGGGAAUUCACCAUGCAAUCCACAUUGUCUGAGAGAGAGAGUUGUCAAUGAAGAUAAAUUUGCCAACUCAUGAGGUAUUGUUGAAGAAAUGUUCACCUCGCUUAGAUAAAGUUUCUCCAAGUGGGCUAAGUUCUGAACCAGAUUUCUCAAGCCAGGCUUUUGAAGCUCCAACAUUGGGUUUGCCGUGAGAUCAAGGAAAACCAAGUUGGACAGUGCUAAGAGUUCCGAUGGGAUUUGGCCAGAGAAUACAGAAUAAGAGAGAUCGAGACUUCUAAGCCUUGAAAGCUGACCAACACCAAAUGGGAUCUCAGAGUAAUUGAAAUCAUUAUCAGAGAGGUCAAGCCUCCGGAGAUGAACAAGACUGAAGAGGGUGCUGCUGGAGUUGAUAGAACCAUAGAGACAACUGCUGGCAAGGUGAAGGCCGAUCACAUGGCCAGUCUCCCUGUCACACUCAACACCAUCCCAAGAGCAGCAAUCACUUCCUUCUCCUUUUCCUUCUCCUUCUCCAUGGGAUUUCCACAUUGCAACUUUUGGAUAAGCAGAAGGAUCACCAGAGGCUUGCCCAUUAAUCAAAAAGCUUUGCUUGAACUGAAGCAAGGCAGAGCUCUCACUAUCAUGGCACAGUGGCUGCUGCAUAAAAGAGGAAGAGUUAGCCACCAUUGGAUAAAAAGAUGAGAGUAAAAGGAGAAAACGCAUGAACAUGAAGAGACACAAAGUUGAGCCCAUAUUUUCUAUGGAUAAAAAGAAAGCAAAUGGGAGUGAUGAGGGUUCACAACCAGGAUCCAUAGUCUUAUAUAGUAAUGAGCAACGUGCAUUGACUGCAAUCCAGUAGACCUGUCUGCCCAUAAAUUUUAAAUCGUAUCAGAAUUUGCCCCUCUAUGAGUCCCUAUUAUUAAUAUUAAAAAUCUGACUCACAAGUCAAGUCGUCUCCGUAGGCUUAGGGGUGGCAUUAAGCAAAAUCUCUAUUUAUUAAAUGACCUGCGUUUACUUAAGCUGAUGAACUGCCUCUCUCUUCUAUUGGUGACUUGAUAGAAGCUCCGGUGGAGCCCAAAUUUCCAUGAGUGAUGAGACCGGGAAAAGAUUAUUCGAAAGAGUGAAAAGGCACCCACAAGCUGCAAAGACACUGAUGGCUACCCAGUAUGGCAUAAUUAUACAUAGAUAUAUGGUUCCAGGAUAAGCCCCUUGCCAAGUCUUGGUCACCACAAAAAAACCGACUAACAUGUCCAAGCAGUCUCUAUAAGCCGAGGAACUUCAAGCAACACUUCACACCACAUCGUUUUAGAAUGUUGGGUCCAAACAAACGAACCCAUCUUCAUUUGGAGUCAUGCCCACUCUUUUUCUAAGCUCAAGCAGAAAACGUGAAGAGAACGGCAAAAGACUGCAGCAAAUGGAUCGAAGUACCGUGUUUGAAGGUCAAGACAUUUAUGCUUAUAAUUGAUCCAACUGUUAAUCCAGGGUAUUUCAUGUGUAUGCUCGUACCUUUUUUUUUUCUUUUCUUUUGAAUGAAGUCUCUCUCUUUGUGUCGUUAAUGAGGGAUGUUAUAAUGUAUCCAUUUUUCCACACAAGGGCAUUGUCAAGCUCUAAGGUAGGGCCAAAGGUCAAGACACAUGCAAACGACCAAUCUAAUGGUCACACAUCCCUCUGGAAUUCUUGUUGGGAUUGAGCCUUAUGGGCCCACCAUGGUUGAGGCUUAGCACUUCCGAAGGGAAGGCUAGAGGCUUAGAACUGUGGCCCCUCAAUUCGCCAAUUGUUUAUUUGUUCCAAUAAAGGAGGUGUCCCUAGGAAUUGAACCUAGGACCAAACCUUUUAAGGCAACUACCUAACUGGUACCUUCAUUGACAUUUUGUGGACAAUCACGGGUCUGCCUCGAUGUGUACUGCGUCCAUGGCCCGGUAUCUUGAGAAACUGUGUAAGGAUGAUUGUGAAGCUCCUGUCCAGCUCCAGGCCUUCAAAUGUGACUUNNNNNNNNNNNNNNNNNNNNNNNNNNNNNNNNNNNNNNNNNNNNNNNNNNNNNNNNNNNNNNNNNNNNNNNNNNNNNNNNNNNNNNNNNNNNNNNNNNNNUCACUGGGUUGGUCCCAUCUCCACUUGGUCACCUUCCCCAGUUAUCCUAUUUAGACCUUUCAAAUAACUAUUUUAGUGGCCAAAUUCCUUCUUUCAUGGCAAAUCUUACCCAACUCACUUAUUUAGACCUUUCUUUCAAUAAUUUCAGUGUUGGGACCCUUCCUUGGCUUGGUAAGCAAACAAAACUCACUGCUUUGCAUCUCAACCAAAUUAAUUUAAUUGGAGAAAUCCCAUUCUCUCUUGUAAAUAUGAGUCAACUAACUAAAUUGACUCUUGCAGAAAAUCAAUUGAGUGGUCAGAUCCCAUCUUGGCUCAUGAAUCUCACCCAAUUAACUCUAUUAGAUCUUGGGGAUAACAAUUUAAAAGGCGGAAUCCCAAGCUCAAAAGGUGAAGGUCUAAAUCUCAAUUCCUGGGGACGCUUCCUUUAUUGGAACAAAUAAACAAUUGACGGAUUGAGGGGUCAUAGUUCUGGGCCUCUAGCCUUCCCUUCGGAAGUACUAUACGCCAACCAUGGUGGGCCCAUAAGGUUCAAUCCCAACAAAAAUGUACCGUGGCCCCUCAAUCCGUUAAUUGUUUAUUUGUUUCAAUAAAAGAGGCAUCCCCAUGAAUUGAACCUAGGACCAAACCCUUUAAGGUCCACCCAAACAAUGGGCUGAUUGAGGGGCCACGGUUCUAGGCCUCUGGCCUUCCCUUCGAAAGUGCUAAGCACCAACCAUGGUGGGCCCAUAAGGCUCAAUCCCAACAAUUCUAACACAGAAAUGGAAGUAUAUCUGUUUGGAGUUUCUAGUAUGAUGUCCUGGUCCAUGGUGUAUAUAUGGUCUAUUCUUUUAUUGAAAGAAAAGCAACUCUAUACUUCUCAUAGGAUUUUUCUUAGCAAUUUGAUCUAUUUUUCCUAUUAUAUUUAGGACAAUUUGAAGAAAUUGGCAAGCAAUCGCAUAAAAUAGAAAUAGAGGAUUUCACAAUAAAUCAAGAAGAUAAAAUUAACAUUAUGACAUGUCGAUGCAAAUUAAAGUUAUGAGGUAUAGAGAUAUAGAAUGAUAACUAUACUACAAUUCAUGUUAGGCUCCAUGUGAAAAGUGUUUUUGAAAACAAUUUUAAAAAAUGGUUUAUGCAAAUUUUUGUGCUUUAGAACAAAAGUAUGUCUAAGACUUGAAAAAAUGUUCUUAAUAUAUUUUUUAUAUUUUUAAAUAUAUUUUAAAAAUAACUUUUAUCUAUGAUUUUUUCUUUUUAAUUAUUCUUUAUAUUUGUAUAAUUAUUUUUAAAAAUAAUAAAAAAGCAAUUGAAAAUAAGUAAAAGAUGUUUUAUAAAAAAUAGUCUAUUUUAUGCCGUAAAGAAUAGAAAAUCGUUUUUAUUUUUUAGUUAUCAAACAUGGAUUUCAAUUUUUUUUCUCUUUCUAGAAAACAUCAAAUUAUUCUUAAAACUAGCUGCUAAAUAAGUUUAAGACAUGUCUCUAAUGCAUGCACCCAAUUCUUUUUUAAAGCAAUAUUUUGUACUUGAAAUAAAUUUAAUCAUGUUAGGUGAUUAAGUGGACUAUUAAUUAUCGGAAAUAACUCACACUAUGUCAGUUUUAUGUCCCCUUUAGUGACUAAAAAAUAGAACUGUCCAUCAACCAACUCCUUUAUAGAAGUAUACAUCUUAUUCAUGGGAAACAUAUAAAAUAAAUUUUAGGGUUUUUAGUCUAAUAUAAAUUUGUGUGUUUCAUCACUUUAAGGGUUAAGGUUAUUGUAAAGAUUCAUAAAGAAUUGUGAUACUUGGAUAAGAGAUAAACUGGCUUAAUCUAAUGAACUGCCUCUCUCUUCGAUUGGUGACUUGAUAGAAGCUCUGGUGGAGCCCAAAUUCCACAAGCGAUGAGACCACAAAAAGCUAGUUAACCACAAAAAUAGUGGUCGAUCGUCCUUGACCUCUUAGUAGUUGCUGAAUUAAUGACCAAAAUUUAUUUUCAAGAAUGCUGGGCCUUGCAUGAAAAACUCCAAAUGAAGCUGUCUCCAUCUGGAGUCAUGAUAACGUGAAGAGAACGGAAAAGACUUCAGCAAAUGGACUUCAGCAUUCUCUAACCCCCCCCACCCCCCACGAGAACGGAAAAGACUUCAGCAAAUGGGCUUCAGCAUUCUCUAACCCCCCACCCCCCACGAGAAAGGAAAAGACUUCAGCAAAUGGACUUCAGCAUUCUCUAACCACCCCCCACCCCCCACGAGAACGGAAAAGACUUCAGCAUUCUCUAACCACCACCCCCCCUCCCCCCCGCCCCCCACCUUUUUUUUUUUUUUUUCCAUUUUUAAAAAAAAAUCAUCUGGUUGAUAAAAGAAAUAUGUUGAAUUCAUAUAAAAAUUCCCUUGUACUUUUAUAUCCAAAAGAUUUGUGUGUACUAUAUCCUUAUUCUAAAGUUCAUGGAAAGAGGAUUUAUAAAAUGAUGAGGUAAGGGUAUUUUUACUUAAUUUCAUUUUUGGUUUGACUGAAGCUGUGUCUCUUUCUGUCUUUAAUCAGGAAUUUGGUAAAGGUCAAGACCCAUGCAAAAGGCCAAUCUAAUGGCUACACAUAGCAUCGGAAUUUUAAUGCAGAAAUGAAGGUAUACCAGUUUGAAAUUUCUGGUUCUAUUUCCUAGUUCAUGGUGUAUAUCUGGUCUAUUCUAAUAUUGAAAGCAAGGCAACCUCGCACUUUUCAUAGGAGUUCUCUUAAUAAUUUCAUCUUGAAUCAAGAAUAGUAGUUAGAUUAUUAAAGAAAUAAUUAAAGUUAUGAGAUAUGGAGAUUGAUAAUGAUAAGAGUUCUGCAAUUCUUCAAGUUAAAGCUCCACGUAAGAAAUGUUUUUAAAAUUAUUUUUGAAGGGCAAUUUUUGAGAACUAUUGUUUUCUUGAACAAAAGUCUAUUUAAAAACUUGAAAAAUUAUGUUUUAUCUAUUUUUUAUAUAUUUAAAAUAUUUUAAAAAUAAUUUUUAUUUAUAAUAUUUUAUUUUUUUCUUAUUCUCUAUAUUUGUAUAAUUAUUUUUUUAAAAUAACCUUGAAAAAAACAACUAAAAGAUACUUUGAAUAUACCAAAUUUUUUUUUUUUUUUGUCAAAUAUGUUUUCUUUUUUUCUUUAAUUCUAAAGAACAUAAAAUUGUUUUCAAUAGCAGUUGCUAAAUAGGGUCUAAGACAUGUGCAUCUCUAACACAUGCACCCAAUUCUUAUUUUUAACCACUUCAUUUUAAAAUUUUGUAAUUUUGAAAUAAAUUUAUAUAUAAUAGGUGAUUUAAGUGAUCUAUUAAUUAUUGGAUGUAAAUCUUACUUCGGGAGUUUUAUCUCUCUCUUAGUGACUAAAAGAUAGAGUUGUGCAUCAACCAACAUCUUUAUAGAAAUAUGCAUCUUAUUAAGAGAAAAGAUACAAGGUAAAAAUUUUUUUAGGUCUCUUAUAAAUUUGUGUGUUUUCAUCAUUGUAUGGGAUAAGGUUAUUGUAUACACUCACAAAGAAUUGUGAUACUUGGAUAACACAAAAUCUUGUGAUUAUGGUGAGUUAAAUUUUCUAGGCUUCCACUGUUUCAAAAAAAUUUAGGUUAUGUUUGGUUCCUAAAAUUUUUGAAGGAAAAUGCAAAGAAAAGAAAAUAGUGAGAGAAAGUAAAAAAGAAAGAAAAAAAUGAAGAAAAAAAAAUUAUAUACUUUUUCAAACUCAUUUAAUUUAUUUUUGCUCUUCUAUUUAAAGAUUAAAUAAGAUAAACAUAUAUAAAUUUUUAGCUAAUUUUAUUUAUAUUUUAUUGUGCUUGAUGAUAAAACCAAACAUGGGUAGGUGUUGAUAUCUCUCCCUUUCACCUUUUCAACGAGGAUAAAUAAUUGGAUAGAUUUUCACACCCAAGAAGCUUUUUUGAUAGGAAAGAACAUUGUUUAUUUUAAUUAGUCUGCAAUCAAGUUGUAAUAUCCCACAAGAUUGCCCCUGGCCUUAGGGCAUAAGGUGUUAUAAAAGGGGUUAAGUUCAAUUGCAAAGUUCUAAGUGUCAAACGUUAAGACAUAGAAAAGACCUUUAAUGAAAAGCCAAAAAACUAAGAUCUUCGGUUCAUGGGUAAUUACAAUCGGCAUUAAUACUACUGCAUAAAUAUAAACCACUCAAGCACAUUUACAUUCCAAGUGGCUCAUUAUACUGCUACUAGUUACAUAUAAAAUAUCCUAACUCUAAGCCAGGCCAAUGUCCAUUUUCACCUCUUUACGAGAAAAUAAAUGGAACAAUAUAAUAAUACAAGGUAGUCAAAUUACUUCUAGUAUAUAAAUUUUCCAGACUUUUGGUUGUUGCACCCCACUGGAUAAGAAAGAGAAAAGGCAAAUGAAGUGAUAAAACUAGCAUUUGCAAUUUAUUACAGACCACAGGCAUCUUGCUUUGUUAGUACCAUCUCAUUACUCAUCAAAACAUCAAGUGUCAAGAAGAAAAAGAAAGAGAAAUCAAAGAGUGGCAAAAUAAGAAAAAAAAAUAGAAGAAAUAGAACUAUAAGAAGCACAUGAAUUUAAAUCUCUCAAGAAAAUUGUGGUUGGAUGAUUUAAGGCAUGUUUGACACCUAUUUUUUUAAAACAUUUUUUGUUCUUCAAAAAAAAAAGAAAAAAAAAAAAGAAAAAAAAGGAAAAUGUAUUUGACAAUUAAAAAAUAGAAAAUAGUUUUAUAAUCUUAAAAAAAAAAGCUUAUUUUUAGAAAAUAUUUUUUUAGUUAUUUUCACUUAUUUUUUGAAUUUUUUUAAAAAUAAUUAUAUAAAUAUAGAGUGAUUAAAAAUAAAGUAUUAUAAAUAAAAGUUAUUUUUAAAAAACAUAAAAAAUAGGUUAAGAAUGUUUCAAGUUUCUAAACAAACUUUUGUAUUGAAAAGCAUUACAUAACAGUAUUUUUCAAAACUAUUUUCAAGAACAAUUCCCAAAGAAAGCCUUAAUUUCUAUUUUCCUUCAUUGUCCAUUUGGGUUAUCACAUUCCAAAAAUUUUCAAAUCCCAUCAAUGUCAUUUUCCAUCCAAAUGCACCAAGGAACCUUGUUCAGAGGUUGAAAAGGUGGUAGUGGUAACACAUCAGGAUUAACCUUGAAAACUAGAGAAAAAAAAUUAAAAUAAAGCUUUUCUAUGGGGACAAAUGGAAUGCUCCUAUACUUAAAGAGAUUCCAUAUCUCCCUUGAAUUUUCUGUUUAGUGGUUAGGUGCUCAAAGAUUGAAGUUUUUGCCUUUAUUUCAAAUGAAAGACUUGCAUACAAGUUCUAAGGUUGAUGUAGAGGAGCCCAAAGCAUAGUUUCACUCAGCUAAGUAUAAGAAGAUUUGCAAGUAAAAAAACCUCAAGGAACUUGUACUGCUGCUUAACUUCCCAUUAAAUAGAUUAACUCCAGUGCAAGGCAACUUUCAUUUUGCUUUUGUCCUUUUUCUAUGUGAAAUAGAUAGAAGAAUCUAACACAUGCAAGCUAGUGAUAGUACUUACUAAUAUGUAAGCACACAACUUGAUAAAAGUAAGAAGGAAUGAUAAAAGAAGUGACAACAAUAACACCUUCAGUUUGCAGUUCAAUACAAGCCAUAAUCAAGAGUCAUUGCUACACUACAUAUUAUUAAGAAACCCAAGCAGUUUUACAUCCAUUCGCCAACACAAACACAAGUUGAAGCAACACCAUGACUAAAAAGGAAAAAGAAAUGAAGAUAGAAGUCCAACAAUUCAAGCAAUAUACAUAGUUUAAGAAAUCUUUCAAGGAAAUUUGGGUUGGAUAAAUUCAGCCUUUGUGCCCCCUUCUUUCUUUCCUUGUCCAUUUUCUUUGCCGCUUUCCAAAGGUUUUCACGAACCACUCAUGUUUCCAUGAGUUCAAGAAGUACCCAAUUGAAACUCUGAUUACUAGCCCACUUCCGUAUCCCAUUAAUACAAAUUUCCAAUCAAAUUCACUAGUUGAACCUUGUUUAGAGGAUGAAGAUGUUGGUGGUGAUGCCUCGGAACUUCCACAUGCCCUUGACAAAGGACUUCCACACAAUCCCGGGUUCCCAUCAAAGGAAGCAUUUGAAAAUGUUGUAAAUUGUUUUCCUUGUGGUAUAGGCCCUAUCAGAUGAUUAUGAGACACAUUGAAGAAUGCAAGGAAUGUUAUCCUUGUUAGUUGCAAAGGGAUCUCUCCUGAGAGUUGGUUUUGGGAAAGAUCGAAUGACUCCAACUGUGUUAGGUUCCCCAAGGAGGAUGGGAUAUGGCCAGUAAGAUUGUUGCCGCCAAGGUUCAUCUAUAAUUUUUUUCUUUUUAAUUAUUCUUUAUAUUUGUAUAAUUAUUUUAAAAAAUAAUAAAAAAGCAAUUGAAAACAAGUAAAAGAUGUUUUAUAAAAAAAUAGUCUAUUUUAUGCUGUAAAGAAUAGAAAAUCGUUUUUAUUUUUUAGUUAUCAAACAUGAAUUUCAAUUUUUUUUUCUCUCUAGAAAACAUCAAAUUAUUCUUAAAACUAGCUGCUAAAUAAGUUUAAGACAUGUCUCUAAUGCAUGCACCAAUUAUUUUUUUAAGCAAUUGUUUUGAAAUAAAUUUAAUCAUGUUAGGUGAUUAAGUGGACUAAUCUAAUGAACUGCCUCUCUCUUCUAUUGGUGACUUGAUAGAAGCUCAGGUGGAGCCCAAAUUCCACAAGCGAUGAGACCACAAAAAGCUAGUUAACCACAAAAAUAGUGGUCGAUCGUCCUUGACCUCUUUGUAGUUGCUGAAUUAACGACCAAAAUUCAUUUUCAAGAAUGAUGGGCCUUGCAUGAAAAACUCCAAAUGAAGUUGUCUCCAUCUGGAGUCAUGAUAACGGAAAAGACUUCAGCAAAUGGACUUCAGCAUUCUCUAACCACCCCCCCACCCCCCACGAGAACGGAAAAGACUUCAGCAUUCUCUAACCUCCCCCUCCCCCCCCCCGAGAACGGAAAAGACUUCAGCAUUCUCUAAACACCCCCUCCCCCCCCCCUCUCUUCCACCUCUUUUUUUUUUUUUUUCCAUUUUUAAAAAAAAUCAUCUGGUUGAUAACAGAAACAUGUUGAANNNNNNNNNNNNNNNNNNNNNNNNNNNNNNNNNNNNNNNNNNNNNNNNNNNNNNNNNNNNNNNNNNNNNNNNNNNNNNNNNNNNNNNNNNNNNNNNNNNNNNNNNNNNNNNNNNNNNNNNNNNNNNNNNNNNNNNNNNNNNNNNNNNNNNNNNNNNNNNNNNNNNNNNNNNNNNNNNNNNNNNNNNNNNNNNNNNNNNNNNNNNNNNNNNNNNNNNNNNNNNNNNNNNNNNNNNNNNNNNNNNNNNNNNNNNNNNNNNNNNNNNNNNNNNNNNNNNNNNNNNNNNNNNNNNNNNNNNNNNNNNNNNNNNNNNNNNNNNNNNNNNNNNNNNNNNNNNNNNNNNNNNNNNNNNNNNNNNNNNNCCCUCCCCCCCCCCUCUCUCCCACCUCUUUUUUUUUUUUUUUCCAUUUUUAAAAAAAAUCAUCUGGUUGAUAAAAGAAAUAUGUUGAAUUCAUAUAAUUAUUAGGCUAUGUUUGGUUCCUGAAAUUUUUGAAGGAAAAUGCAAAGAAAAUAAAAUAGUGGGAGAAAGUAAAAAAGAAAGAAAAAAGAUGAAGAAAAAAAUAAAAAAAUAAAAAAAUAAAUUAUAUACUUUUUAAAACUCAUUUAAUUUAUUUUUGCUCUUCUAUCUAAAAAAUUAAAUAAGUUAAAAAUAUAUAAAUUUUUAACUAUUUUUAUUUAUAUUUUAUUGUGCUUGAUCAUAAAAUAUAUCCAGUAUGGCAUAAUUAUAAAUAGAUAUGUGGUUCCAGGAUAAGCCCAUUGCCAAGUCUUGGUCACCACAAAAAAUCCCACUAACAUGUCCAAUCAGUCUCCGUAAGGUAAGGAACUUCAAGCAACAUUUCACACCACAUCGUUUUAGGGUGUUUAGUCUAAUAAUAUAAAUUUGUAUGUUUCUUCACUUUAUGGGUUAAGGUUAUUGUAUAGAAUCACAAAAAAAAUAUCGUGAUAUUUGGAUAAGAGGUAAAUUUUCUAGGCUUCGACUUUUGGGUUAUGUUUGGUUCUCCAAAAAGAUUGAGGGAAAAUAUAAAGAAAAAAAGAACCAAGAAAAAUAGAAAAAAAGAAAAAAGAAAUAAAGGAAAAUUAAAAAAAUAGAUUUAAAAUCAAUAAAUAAUUUUUAUAUAUUACUUGAAAUUCAUUUUAAUACUUAUUUUUCUUUUUUUAUAUAAAAAUUAAAUAAUUUUAAAAUAUAUAAAUUUCUAAAUAAUUUUAAUUAUAUUUUAUUUUCUUUUAUAUUUUCAAUGAAAAAUCAAAUAUAAAAAGUCAUUUUCAUUAACAUUUUUUUUCUUUAUUUCUUUGGUAUUUCCUAGAACCAAACAUAGUUUUAAUAAAAAAAAUAUCAACACUUUGAAAUACCUUUUUAACCUAUAUCUACAUGUAAUAUAAUAUAUAACAUAAACUCCAUUGAAAAGUAAAACUCAGUUGAAAUGAACAUAGAUUCUUCAUAAAGUAAUGUUAAACAUUGCUGUGAGUUUAGUAGAUGUUUAAAGUUUAUACUUUCUUUGGUCAUGUAGAGUUGAAGAGAAAAUACGAUUAAAUUUUUGGACAAAGAAUAUGUAGUAGCAUUUAAGAGAGUAUUUGUGUACACAAAAUAAAAAUUUUAGUUUAUUUACAUAUGUUAAAAGGAGUGAAUUAUGCUUAUUUUUUUAAUUCAUUUUAAAUAAAAUAUUUUAACCAAGUUCUUUUUUGAUAAAAAUAUAAUUUGUACCUUAUUGAAAUAUUAAUAUCCAUAUUUUAUCAUUAUUGAUUAUUUCUUAACACAAAAAAUACUAUUCAUAUUUUACUAAAUAUUAUUUAUAAAUUUGUUUUCUCAAAUUUUCAAAAAAUUUAAAUGAAAUUUAAUUUAAUAUUAAUAUAAAAUUAAAAUUAAAAUCUUUUCAUAAAAUAAAAGAAAUUAUUUUUAUAAACGACAUUUAUUUUUUAUUUUUUAUUUUUUGUCUUUAAAAACUAUUUGCAAUCAAGUUUGGAUGCACUUUUUAAUAUCUAUUUUUUUAAAAUAAAAAAAUGAUACUAACCAAGAAUUAAAAUUUUGAUUUUUUUUAUUUUUUUUAUUUUAUGAAAUGUCAUCGAUAUAUCGAAUAUUGGUGGUAUCCGGUAUUGGGAAUCAACUAUCAAUGGGUAGGAAUUUUGAAAUUUUUUUUGGUAAUAUCAGCGAAAAAAUCGAGCGUGGGAUGGCACACGAAGGCAACCGAGAAGAACCUCAAAAAAUUCGUUGAUAUUUCGGAAAAUAUCACCUAUUUUUCGGCAAUUUUUUUGUGGCCCAUCCUGCCUGCGAAAGGCUCAAUUUUCAUUUUAUUUUUGCGGCCCAGCCCGCCGACCGAGCUCAAUUUUCAAUUUGUUUUGGGCCCAGGCCCCCAAAGCUUAAAUUUCAAUUUGAAACUGCCAAGAUUGGAACCAGGCCAAAAGGCUUGGGUUCAAGUUUGAUUACCACCUGAUAAUCUUCUCUUUUGAGAAUUUUUUUUUUUUUUUUACAUAAUAAAUAUGUUAAAGCUCAUUAUUAAAAAAUAAAUAAAUAAAUUCUAAUUAUGUUAUUUUAAAAUUUAUUUAUUUAAUAAAUAAAUAUAUAAAAACCACUAUUAUAAUUUUCUUAACAAGUAUUUUUUAAUAUCAUUUAUAUGAUAAUUAAAUAUAAAAAAUAUAAAUAUUAAAAAUUCGUAUAUGCAUCAUAAUUCAUUUUACAUUAUUAAAUGCAUUUGAAUUAAAUAAAUUAUAGUUUUAAUAUUAAAUAUAUUAUCAUUAUCUCAUUAAUGCUAUUUUUAAAAAUCACUAUCACUUCACUUUUAAAUUUUUUAUAUUUAUCCUUUUAAUUUUAUUUAAUUUUGAAUGUUUUUAUUUUAAAAUAUUAAAAAUAUAAAUUUAUUCAAAAAAUACUAAAAUAUAAAAAAAUAAUUAAGUUCAAGUAUUUUAUAAAUUAAAAUUAAUUUGAUCAGAUAAAUAAUAAAUUAUUAAUAUCAACAUAUCUUUGUUUACCGAUAUUUUUCUCUUUAACCAUACCUAUAUCAUUACACUUAAAAAAUAACUUGAACAUGUAUAUUUUUAUUUAUUUUAUCUUAGAGUUUCUCCAAAUAUUUCCAUAUAUUUUGAAUCGAUAUUUCUUCGAUAUUUUCGAUAUAUUUGUAAAAUCCAGAUACCGAUAUAUCCGUAUUUACCUAUAUUUCAACCCUUGAUACUAACUUAAAGAGUUUUGACUAACUCCAUCCCAAAGUUGUUCUUUAAUAAAUCCCUUGUUUUCAAGGUUUCAUCCUAUUCUAAAAUGGUUUUGCUUUUGUUUAACAUCUACUUAAAACUUGAUAUUAAAAAAUUGUCAAUGAACUAAAACUUAGAAGAUAUGUUAUAGAAAACAAAUCAUGAAAACAUAGAAAUUACUUUCAAAAACCUUUUCGUCAAAACAAUUGAGUAUUUAACAAAAAGAAAAAAAGAAAAAUUGUUUUCAAAAACAUCUACAAACAAGUUUUAACUUUUCAGUUUAUAACCAUGCAUGUAUUAACCCUUUCCUGCUCAUUAUAUUACAAGGUUUUUUUUCCCUAACCAAGUAUGAGAAAACAUGAGAAUAGAACUCCAUUCCUCUGAACGAACUUCAUCACCUCUCUGACUUCCUCAAUAAAAUCUCAGCUAUCAUCCAGGCUUAAUGGUGCCCAAAAUCUCAGAAUCAACUGCCAAAUCCCAGGGAAAAACGCCCCCCUUUAAUUUCAGUAUUGAAGGACACACACCCAUACAAUUAAUUAUAAUUCCAGCUUUUACAUAAAUAAAUGGACAAGACAAAUAAUAUAUAUAUAUAUAUAUAUAUAUAUAUAUAUAUAUAUAUAUAUAUAUAUAUAACUAAGAUCUUUAGUUCAUUGUUGAUUACAUUGCAAUAUUUCUACUUAAAUAUAAACUACCCAAGCACUCUCUUCUAUUGGUCACUUGAUAGAAGCACUGGUGGGGCCCAAAUUUCCAUUAGUGAUGAGAUCGGGAAAAGAUUAUUCGGAAGAGUGAAAAGGCACCCACAAGCUGCAGAGACACCGAUAGCUACCCAGUAUGGCAUAAUUAUACAUAGAUAUGUGGUUCCAGGAUAAGCCCCUUGCCAAGUCUUGGUCACCACAAAAAAUCCCACUAACAUGUCCAAGUAGUCUCCGUAAGGUGAGGAACUUCAAGCAACUAUUCACACCACUUCGUUUUAGAAUGCUGGGUCCACACGAACGAACCUGUCUUCAUUUGGAAUCAUCCGUACUCUUUUUCCAAGCUCACGCAGAAAACGUGUAGAGAAACGACAGAAGACUGCAGCAAAUGGAUGGAAGUACCGUGUUUGAAGGUCAAGACAUUUAUGCGAUCCAAUUGUUAAUCUAUGAUGUUUCACGUGUUUGCGUACUUUAUUAUUAUGUUUAUUUUGAUAAAAAUAUCGGUAAUUACGGAUAUAUCGGUACUUCAAUUUUACGAAUAUAUCGGAUAUAUCAGAGAUAUAUCGACGGAUAUUCUGAAAAAAAAUAUCGAUAGACUUAAAAUUGUUAAAAACUCAUGGAAAUGCAAGGAAAACCUCAUAAUAAUAUAAUUAGAAGUAUAAUUAACAUUUUAAAGUUGUUUUAUUGAAAAAUUUGAUAUAUAUAUAUAUAUAUGAUAUAAUUUGCGAUAUUAGAUCUAAUUAUAUCAUGUCGAUUGAUAAGAAAUGUUAAUUUUGUCAUUAUUCUCAUUAUAAAGUCACAUAAAAUAUUUUAUUUCAUUAAAUAUCAAUAAUUUGUACACAUUAAAUUCAUUAAAUAAACAUAUUUCAUAUUCAAAAUAUACUAGUUCAUGCUAAUUAAAUUAAUUAAAUAAUUUAGCAUGUUAAUUAAAUUAAUUAAAUAAUUUAGCUAAGUUAACUAGUUUAAUUUAAUUCUAAAUGUGAAAAUAAAUCACAGAUAAUCAUCUAAAAUAAACAUAUCAAUUUAUAAUUAAAUAAUCAAAUUAACCUAAGUUAAUUCAAUAAAAAUAUAAAAAUUAAUUACAAUUGAAUGUAAAAAUAGCAUUAAAUCAUCCAUAUUGCAAACAUACUAAUUAAUUGAAAAUACAUGAAUUAAUUAUAAUUGCAAACAAAAUUAAUUAUAAUUUAAAACAAAUAUACCUUAAAAUGAUUAAAUAAUUGAGCAACCUUAAUAAAAAUUGGAGUAAUGAGAGAGCAAAUGAAGAAUGAAAGUAAAAAUGGAUGAAAUAGAUGAAAUUUGAGUUAUUUAUAAAAGAAAUUUGGGACAAAAUAUCCGUUGGAACAUUAAUUUAUCGUUGAAAAUCAAUUUUGGCCGUUGGAUAAAAAAACUGGGAGCAAUCGGGCCAUUGGAUCGCCAUAUUACCAUUAGAAUCAUAUCUAGGCCGUUAGAUCAACACGGGCGUGAUCUGGGCCAUCAGAUCACGUUGCAUGAAGGAGGGGAAAUAUCACCAAAAAAUCAGCGAUAUAUCUCCGAUAUAUCGCCGACAUAUCACCGAUAUUUUGCCACUAGAGGCGAUUUUUUCAAAAAAUCUCCGAUAUAUCUCCCCGAACCGAUAUAUCGCCGAUAUUUUGGCGAUAUUUACGGAAAUAUCUGCUCUCGAUUUUUCUCCAUGAAAUAUCGUGUCGACCCCUCUCGAUACACGAUAUAUCGGCGAUAUAUCACCGAUAUAUCUCGAUAUUUUCCUCCAUGGAUGUAAUGAUGUAUCCACUUUUCCAUACAAUGGCAUUGUCAAUUCUAAGGUGGGGCCAAAGGUCAAGACACAUGCAAAAUACCAAUCUAAUGGUCACACAUUCCUCUAGAAGUCUAAAACAAAAAUAGAGGUAUACCUGUUUGGAGUUUCUGGUUUGAUGUCCUGGUCCAUGGUGUAUAUCUGGUCUAUUCUAAUAUGGAAAGCAAAGCACCUCUAUACUUUUCAUAGGAUUUUUCUUAGCAAUUUUAGCUAUUUUCCCUAUUAUAUUAGGACAAUUUGAAGAAAUUGAUAGGCAACCACAUAGAAUAGAUCAUUUCAUAAUGAAUCAAAGUAUUCUUAAAAGUAGUUGCUAAACAAGACAUGUCUCUAACACAUGCACCCAAUUCUUGUUUUUAAGCACUUGAUUUCAAAAUUUUAUAAUUUUAAAAUAAAUUUAAUCAUGAUGGGUGAUUAAGUGGGCUAUUAAUUAUCAAAAACAACUCCCACUAUGUCAGUUUUAUCUCCUCCUUUAGUGACUAGAAGAUAGAGAAUUGUUCAUCAAUCAACUCCCUCAUAGAAAUGUACAUCUUAUUAAGGGGAAACAUAUAGGGUAAAAAAAAUUUAGGGUGUUUAGUCUAAUAAUAUAAAUUUGUAUGUAUCUUCAUUUUAUGGGUUAAGAUUAUUGUAUAGAAUCACAAAAAAAAAAAAAAAUUGUGAUACUUGGAUAAGAGGUAAAUUUUCUAGGCUUCAACUUUUGGGUUAUGUUUGAUUCUCCAAAAAGAUAGAGGGAAAAUGCAAAGAAAAAAAAAAACUAAGGAAAAAAAGAAAAAAAGAAAAAAUAAAUAAAGGAAAAAAAAAGAUUUAAAAUCAAUAAAUUAUUUUUAUAUAUUACUUUAAAUUCAUUUUAGCACUUAUUUUCUUUUUUAUAUAAAAACUAAAUAUUUUUAAAAUAUAUAAAUUUUUAAAUAAUUUUAAUUAUAUUUUCUUUUCUUUUAUAUUUUCAAUGAAAAAUCAAAUAUAAAAAAUCAUUUUCAUUAAUAUUUUUUUUCUUUAUUUGAUAUUCCCGAGAACCAAACAUAGUUUUAAUAAAAAAAAAAUAUCAACACUUUGAAACACCUUUUUAACCUAUACCUACAUGUAAUAUAAUAUGUAACAUAAACUUCAUUGAAAAGUAAAACUUAGUUGAAAUAAAUAUAGAUUCUUCAUAAAGUAAUGUUAAACAUCACCACCAGUUUAGUGGAUAAAGAAUAUGUACUAGCAUUUAAGAGAGUAAUUGUGUACAUAAAAUAAAAAAUUUAGUUUAUUUACAUAUGUUAAAAGGAGUGAAUUGUGCUUUUUUUUUAAUUCAUUUUAAAUAAAAUAUUUUAACCAAGUUCUUUUUUGAUAAAAAUAUAAUUUGUACCUUAUUGAAAUAUUAAUAUCCAUAUUUUAUCAUUAUUGAUUAUUUCUUAACACAAAAAAUACCAUUCAUAUUUUACUAAAUAUUAUUUAUAAAAUUUUUUUCUCAAAUUUUCACAAAAUUUAAAUGGAAUUUAAUUUAAUAUUAAUAUAAAAUUAAAAUUAAAAUCUUUUCACAAAAUAAAAGAAAUUAUUUUUAUAAACAACAUUUAUUUAUAUAUUUUUUGUCUUUAAAAACUGUUUGCAAUCAAGUUUGGAUGCAAUUUUUAUUUUCUAUUUUUAAAAACAAAAAAAAAAUGAUACUAACCAAGGAUUAAAAUUUUGAUUUUUUUCAACAAAAUGUCGUCGAUAUAUCGAAUAUCGGUGGUAUUCAACAUAAUAUUGGGUAUCAAUUACAAUUUCGGUAAUACCGACGAUAUAUCGGUUUGAAGGCGAAAUAUCGACGAAAAAAUCGAGGGGCGACGCGCGAAGGCAGUGAUGAAGAACCUCAAAAAGUCGUUGAUAUAUCGGAAAAAAUCAUCUAUUUUUCACCAUUUUUUGUGGCCUAGCUUGCCUGCCCAAGGCUCAAUUUUCAAUUUGUUUUGGCGGCCCAGCCCGCCGGCCAAGCUCAAUUUUCAAUUUGUUUUCUUAACAAGUAUUUUUUAAAAUCAUUUAUAUGAUAAUUAAAUAUAAAAAUUAUAAAUAUUAAAAAUUCAUGGAUCAUCAUUUAUUUAACAUUAUUCAAUACAUUUGAAUUAAAUAAAUCAUAGUUUUAAUAUUAAAUAUAUUAUUAUUAUAUCAUUAAUCCUAUUUUAAAAAAUCACUAUCACUUCACUUUAAAUAUUUUUAAUAUUUAUCCUUUUAAUUUUAUUUAAUUUUGAAUGUUUUUAUUUUAAAAUAUUAAAAAUAUAAAUUUAUUCAAAAAUACUAAAAUAUAAAAAUAAUAAUUAAGUUCAAGUAUUUUAUAAAUUAAAAUUAAUUUGAUUAGAUAAAUAAUAAAUUAUUAAUAUGGACAUAAAUUUGUUUACUGAUGUUUUUCUCUUUAAUCAUACAUAUAUCAAUUACACUUAAAAAAUGACUUUAACAUGUAUAUUUUUAUUUAUUUUAUCUUAGAGUUUCUCCAAAUAUUUCCAUGAGUUUUGAAUAAUUUUUGUCUUAUCGAUAUUUUUAUCAAAAUAUCCUUCAAUAUUUAUGAUAUAUUUGUAAA
rnacentral:lncRNA from 1 species